GAUUAUGGCUCAGGAUCGAACGCUAGCUACAGGCUUAACACAUGCAAGUCGAGGGGCAGCAUGAGAUUAGCUUGCUAAUCUUGAUGGCGACCGGCGCACGGGUGAGUAACGCGUAUCCAACCUUCCCUAGUAGGGCAUAGCCCGGCGAAAGUCGGAUUAAUACCCUAUGUUCUUCGUAGAGGACAUCUGAAAUGAAGCAAAGAUUUAUCGCUAAGGGAUGGGGAUGCGUCUGAUUAGGUAGUCGGCGGGGUAACGGCCCACCGAGCCUGCGAUCAGUAGGGGUUCUGAGAGGAAGGUCCCCCACAUUGGAACUGAGACACGGUCCAAACUCCUACGGGAGGCAGCAGUGAGGAAUAUUGGUCAAUGGGCGCGAGCCUGAACCAGCCAAGUAGCGUGCAAGGAUGACGGCCCUAUGGGUUGUAAACUGCUUUUAUGCGGGGAUAAAGUGCACCACGUGUGGUGUUUUGUAGGUACCGCAUGAGUAAGGACCGGCUAAUUCCGUGCCAGCCGCUGC
rnacentral:rRNA from 1 species